UACGUAGGGGGCAAGCGUUAUCCGGAAUUACUGGGCGUAAAGGGUGCGUAGGUGGCCUGACAAGUCAGGGGUCAAAGGCAACGGCUCAACCGUUGUAAGCCCUUGAAACUGUCGGGCUUGAGUUCAGGAGAGGAAAGCGGAAUUCCAAGUGUAGCGGUGAAAUGCGUAGAUAUUUGGAGGAACACCAGUGGCGAAGGCGGCUUUCUGGACUGAUACUGACACUGAGGCACGAAAGCGUGGGGAGCAAACA
rnacentral:rRNA from 1 species